rnacentral:rRNA from 1 species
UACGGGGGGGGCAAGCGGUUGUUCGGAAUCACUGGGCUUAAAGGGCGCGUAGGCGGUCGGCCAAGUCAGGGGUGAAAUCCUGGCAGCUUAACUGUGGAACUGCCUUAGAUACUGACGGCCUCGAGGAAGGUAGGGGCAUGCGGAACUGUAGGUGGAGCGGUGAAAUGCGUUGAUAUCUACAGGAACUCCGGUGGCGAAAGCGGCGUGGCUGGACCUUUUCUGACGCUGAGGCGCGAAAGCUAGGGGAGCAAACGGG